UACAGAGGUCCCAAGCGUUGUUCGGAUUCACUGGGCGUAAAGGGUGCGUAGGUGGUGGGGUAAGUCGGAUGUGAAAGCUCGGAGCUCAACUCCGAAAUGGCAUUGGAAACUACCCUGCUAGAGGAUUGGAGGGGGGGCUGGAAUACUUGGUGUAGCAGUGAAAUGCGUAGAUAUCAAGUGGAACACCAGUGGCGAAGGCGAGUCCCUGGACAAUACCUGACACUGAGGCACGAAAGCUAGGGGAGCAAACAGG
rnacentral:rRNA from 1 species